CUUGUCCAGUUGUCAUCUGAGAGGCUUCCUCCAGCAGCAGAUGAGAGCAGGUGCAGAGACCCACAGCCAGACCCUAUGUGGGCAGAGUCUAAAUUGGAGGUUUCCAUUGGGUCCCUUCCCUGUGAGAGAAUUCAAAGGAAACCAGAUCACAUCACUACAUAGAGAGUUAAAUAGCACAAAUUUUCUCAAAGUGUGCUGACAUGGUGAGAUAGACAAAGAAAGCAAGAGAGAGAGGUGGAA